CAAGUAAACCGGGUGACCGCCCUGAAUUUUUUCGGGGAGGAAAGUCCGAGCUCCACCGGGCAGGAUGCUGGCUAACGGCCAGGAGGGGUGACCCUACGGAGAGUGCCACAGAAACACACCGCCUCUGACGGGGUCCCCGAAAAUCUUGAUUUUUGGGGUGAACGUGGGGGUAAGGGUGAAAUGGCGAGGUAAGAGCUCACCAGCGGCCGGGUGACCGGUCGGCUGGGUAAACCCCAUCCGGAGCAAGACCAAAUAGAGGGACAUAAGGACGC
rnacentral:RNase_P_RNA from 1 species